rnacentral:tRNA from 1 species
UCCGGGGUCGGCUAAUCGGUAGGCCACCAGACUUUGGAUCUGGUUAUCCUGGUUCGAGUCCAGGCCCCGGAACCA